rnacentral:tRNA from 1 species
GUUUUCGUGGUGUAGUGGUCAGCACACUCGGCGCGUAUUCGAGAAGUCCGAGGUUCGAGUCCCAGCGAGGGCA